rnacentral:rRNA from 1 species
UACGGGGGGAGCAAGCGUUGUUCGGAUUUACUGGGCGUAAAGGGCGCGUAGGCGGCCACCGCAAGUCAAUUGUGAAAUCUCCGGGCUUAACUCGGAAAGGUCAACUGAUACUGCGGGGCUAGAGUGCGGAAGGGGCAACUGGAAUUCUCGGUGUAGCGGUGAAAUGCGUAGAUAUCUGGAGGAACACCGGUGGCGAAGGCGGCAUCCUGGACCAAUAUUGACGCUGAGGAGCGAAAGCCAGGGGAGCAAACGGG